UACGUAGGGUGCAAGCGUUGUCCGGAAUUAUUGGGCGUAAAGAGCUCGUAGGCGGUCUGUCGCGUCUGCUGUGAAAACUCAGGGCUUAACCCUGAGCUUGCAGUGGGUACGGGCAGACUAGAGUGCGGUAGGGGAGACUGGAAUUCCUGGUGUAGCGGUGAAAUGCGCAGGUAUCAGGAGGAACACCGGUGGCGAAGGCGGGUCUCUGGGCCGUAACUGACGCUGAGGAGCGAAAGCAUGGGGAGCGAACAGG
rnacentral:rRNA from 1 species